rnacentral:lncRNA from 1 species
CAAGGACAGAGCUUCAUACUUGGCCACUCGCAGCAGCCUGAGCUUUGACCCACACCCCAUCGACCAACUGGCACAGAACUGUUUGCUCGUAGAGGGGGGUGGGUGGCACUCUGAAGGCUAUCCAGCACGAUCCGGCCCUUUCCCUUGGCAAUUCUGUGACACUUUCCAAUCUAAGGCCGACAGAGCAAGGCAACCAGAUUUUUUUCUACAGCACCCUCCCAGGUGAGCAGUGGGCCUGGAGCCCUUCUGUAACCUGGCAUCUGUAGGUCUUCUCAUUAAGAACGAGAGUCAGAAGAGGAAAGGACUUAACACUCAUUACAACUCAGUCAUGGGGCUCUGAAGCGUCCCGAGGUCCCCUCUUUCCCACCCUACCUGUCGGCUGCGCGGCUCCACCACUUGCCAAACUAGGAGGAUUAAGUCGGUCUCGUCCGAGCCUAGGUCCGGCCCCAGCGCACCGGCAGUGGCCCCGAACAAAACCACCAGCGACUGAGCAGGCACUCUGAGUCCUCCGCAAAAGAAUGUGCAGGAUCAGAGGCCUCUUUCCAUUCUGCAAGGGUCACGCAAGACCCAUGGAAUUCAACAGGAGGCAAUCUAGGGACUAUAAAAGGUCGCGACGUCUGGCUUGAGGUUAAUGGAAGUUACAAAGGGUCAAAAGCCGACAGUGAGCGCUACCAGGCCGCCCUGUGGGCUCAGGAUAGUUUCCCACCUACUCGACUGUAAUUAGUACUCUGGCGAGAGUAAAAAGGUACUGGCGUGGGACUUAGAAUACAGGAUGCCACCGGCUGAAGAAGAACCUUGUGUGUUUGGAAAAGCGGGCUGCUUCCUAUCGGUCUUGGAUAAAAGGCAACCCAGAGCCCGGGUGCAUCCCUAACUCAUGCCCAAGGAAGGUCGUGCGGAGCCAGAGGACCUAGAAUGUAUAGUGCGCCUUCUGGGUUUGUCCACACAAUAGCGCAGGAACACAGCGACCCAAUAUAGUGAGAAGUGGCCGCAGCGCACACCCUGAGACCCUUCACCAGGCGGCCCACCCGGAGCCUGCCUACUCAGCCCCGCUACCACGAUAAGCCUGGAAUGUCAAAUAUUUGUUCUAGGAACCCAGUGAAACCUUGAGGUAAAGCCCCUCCCCUCCUCCCUCCCAUUCCGGAGCGCGCCUGCGUCAGUCCAGGCUUUCCGGUAAGGACACUCCCUUCCAACUAGUUCCUUCUCGACACCCCUGCAACCCAUCGUCCUGACUAUUUAAACUUCACAAGGUCUUCGCUACAGGCUCAGGUUCAGUGAGGCAGAGUCUUGGCUUCCCUACCCAGUUAUCCCAGAGCUACUGGUAUCGGUUUCUACCCACAACCUCCGAGCAAGGCUCCCCUUUCAACCUGUAGACCUCGCCUCCCGAUUCUCGGGAGAUCUUGCUGACUGUGGAAUCCCUGGCUGUUCCGAACCCCCUGGAAAGAAGCGGCUGUUCCCAGGUUUCUGCAAGGUAACGAAUCUGAAGAGUCAACAGAAUUGAGCGGCUCCAUUCAUUCGACUCUGGUUCUCUCAACCAGGCAUUCCCCAUAUUAAAACAAUUCCAGAACUUCAAA